AGCGCAGGAGAACUCGUGAAUUUAGGGAUUUUAUUCUGUUAACACAGGCCAUUGUAUAUUUUUCACUAUUUGGGAAGGAGAACAUAGCAGAUAAAGAUGUUAGUGAAAUUGUUCCAGAGAAUAAUUGAUGCUUGUAAGUUCUGCACCGUAUUUGAAAUGGUAUGCAUCACAUUUUCUGCCGUGCUCAUAAUAGUGUUGGUAGAUAGCUUUGGAUCGUUGAAA